rnacentral:tRNA from 1 species
GUCCCUGUUGCACAAUGGAUAGUGCGUAGAACUUUUAAUCCAAAGGUCGUGGGUUCGAAUUCCAUCAGGGAUG